ACUUUGUGCGGGAAGACCGCAGCAGGCGGAAAGGAGACGUCGCGGAGUCGGGGUGAUUCUCCUGCUUUAGGACUCCUGAAUGCUGGAAUUUACAGAUUUGAGCCAACAGCUCAAAUUUGAAAUUUUUUUCUUUAGUAAACAUAGAAAAAAAAAUCCAUAUGAUUUCUUUCAUUUACCUUAAAAAUCAGACAUUUUCCAACAAGUUCUGUCAGAGUUUAAACUGUUUCUCUAUGUAAAUGACAGUUAUACAAAGUCAAUCAUUUACAGCGCUGCUAACCGGUUCCACCACAUCUAUAAUCUACUUUUCAUGAGCAUGGCCUUUAGAAUCUUGUAUUAGCUCAUUGCUUGACUUUGGAUAAAUCAUAGGCUGCUUUCCCUGAGACAUCUCUUGUCUAUAAAAUGGAAAUAAUAACAGUACUUGACCUCUUGAAGGUGUUUUGAGAUUGGAUGAGAUAUAUGUGCUAAGCACAAUGCGUACGAUAUAGAAAAUAUCUGAUAUCAGCCCUAAAUGUUUAUUAUAGGCGAGGAGGCUAUAAUAAUCUUACCUAUUAGCUGGGUGAUGGAGGCAGAGGCAGGCUAAUCUCUAUUAGUUUGAGGCCAGCCUGGUCUACAGAGUAAGUUCCAGGACAGCCAGGGCUACACAAAGAAACCCUGCCUCAAAAAAUAAAAAAUAAAAAAAUAUAUGUAUUCUAAGUUCUUUCAGGUGCCUGUGUGGCCCUAUAAACCCAGGUAGGUGUACUGCCUCCCUAAGAUAAUGAGAGGCAUUUGCCGAAGCACUCGGUUAUUAGUGGAGCUGGUUUUUUGUUGUAUGUGUUAUUAGUGGAGGUGGGCUUUUGUUGUAUUUUGUUUUUUUGAGACAGAGCCUCACUCUAGUGCCUGUCCUGGAACUCACCACGUAGACCAGACAGGCCUCUACCUCCUGGUGCUGGACUUGGGCAUGUGCCAUUAUGAGGCUUAAAAGAGGGCCUUUACAUGGUGACUUUCCUCUGUCACCUUGACUGGAUCAGUAAACACCUUGGAUACCAGUGAGGCACUUCUUUGGGCGUGACUGGGAAGAGCUACUCGGAAUGUGGCCAGCACCAUUUCUUCAGCUGAGGUCCUGGACUGAAUCAGAAGAGGAAGAGGAAAAAGCCAUUGAAGGACCAGCAUCCCACUCUGUCUCCUUCCCGAUCCAACGGCAUGUGAGCAAGCCCUUUCCACUGCCACACCUCUGUGCUGAUGGACUCUGUCUCCUGAACCACGCAUCGAAAUAAAACUUUUCAGUUGCU